CCCGCCUGCCCGGGCCCGGGUCCUCGCUUCUCAGGCUCGGCUUCUCUUAGGCCCCUGUCUCCAGGGGAGAUUCUACUAUGAGGAAUGUUGCAUGAUUAUAAAGACAAAGCUUGGUCCCAAAGAAGAGAUAGAAGAAAAUACUUCUCUUUUCUUCCCUGCCAGAG